rnacentral:rRNA from 1 species
CUCAGAACGAACGCUGGCGGCAGGCUUAACACAUGCAAGUCGAACGGUUGUAGCAAUACAGCAGUGGCAGACGGGUGAGUAACACGUGGGAACCUUCCUAGGGGUACGGAACAACUCAGGGAAACUUGAGCUAAUACCGUAUACGUCCGUGAGGAGAAAGAUUUAUCGCCCUUAGACGGGCCCGCGUCGGAUUAGCUAGUUGGUGGGGUAACGGCCUACCAAGGCGACGAUCCGUAGCUGAUCUUAGAGGAUGAUCAGCCACACUGGGACUGAGACACGGCCCAGACUCCUACGGGAGGCAGCAGUGGGGAAUCUUGGACAAUGGGCGCAAGCCUGAUCCAGCCAUGCCGCGUGAGUGAAGAAGGUCUUCGGAUUGUAAAGCUCUUUUGCCAGGGACGAUAAUGACGGUACCUGGAGAAUAAGCCCCGGCAAACUUCGUG